AUUGUAUUGCGAAAUGUUGGUGUUGCUUAGCAGCUUAAUAGGGAAUCUGGUGAGAAUCCAGAACUGUCCCCGCAACUGUAAGUGUGGAUGAAAUGAGACAACCACUGUAUAAGAGUGCUUAAUAGGUGCUUAUACGGGAAGGCUCAAAGUAAGGUGAAGCACAAGUCAGGAGACCUGCCACCAUUUCUUAGUCAGC
rnacentral:ncRNA from 2 species